GUCUAUCUGACGAGUCCCAAAUAGGACGAAACAAACGUCCUGGAU
rnacentral:hammerhead_ribozyme from 1 species